rnacentral:lncRNA from 1 species
CAAUUAUCAGCUUAAGGCAAAGUUGCUGGAAUGGUUACAGGCAGCCAGUUGCUUUGUGGGAAUCUGAUAUGCACCUGGCAAGCACAGGGAGCAGUGCGCCGUUGCUUGUAGUGUUCUGCCCGCCCAAGGGACCAUCGUCGCAGGUCAAGUUCUUUGUGGGUUUCCAGAAACAGUUCAGGUGCCACUCUCUGGCUGCCCCAGCACUGCCAAAGGUGACGUGAACUUUUUUUUAAAUACCUCCACAGAGAAUUUUUACGGCUGCACUGAGCUCCAAAGGUUGGAGCAGAGAAAUAUGAACCCAUGACCUCCGCAGCUGAAACCCUGGGACUCCACAGGAGCUCUGCAGUUUGUUUACUCUGAGGCAGGAUUUGCUGCCAGAAUCCAGACCACUGGCUUUACUGAAGUUAUGAUGGACAGAGAACGAGGAAGCUCGCUUUGUGAAGAAAUCUAAUGGCCGCUGUUCCCUCUUCAUGUCACUUCACUGACUUCUGGGCAACCGCAGCAGCACUGAAGCCCACUCCAAUGGGAGUCUUCUAAGCAGUGUAAAAUACAACACCUGGACAUUAUGAUGGAAGAUCAAUGACCUGUUGCAGAUUAUGCCGGCUACUGUGAUCCCAAUGGCUUUCCUGUGCUCAUCCUCACUGUGACUGGCUGGAAAUGUCAGCAAACCACAUGGAAUGGUUGCAAAUCACUCUGUCCUCAAAGACUGAGAACAACUGCAGCUUGUAAAAUGCAACAAUAAGGACACCAUUGGUAUCUGUUCCAGCUCGUUCAUAUGUCAACAACGACAUCACACAGGAAGAUGUCCUGAACGCCUAGCAAAAGGUUUCCAUAUAGUUUUGGGGAGGAAUGUGGCUUUUCAGGUUAGUUCCUGUAAAUUCUGAAGACAACUUAAUAGGUCAGGGAGUUUCUGCCACAGGAACUCCACCUCUGCUUCAUAUGAAACAUGCUGAAACUUUUAGAUAUUCCCCUGAAGAUUUUCUGAACUGUGUCUUUAAAAAAAAGCAGUGCCCAGUGACAAACCCAGUGUCACUUUCCUGGUGGUAAUGGUUCCUAAGAAUUAUCAAGAGAGACGAAUUAGAUAGAAAUCUUCUGAUAGAAGACAAAUCUGGACUGUUUCUUAUUUGCACAUUUGUCUUUUACUUUAUUUUUGAACACAGACUUGGGAUAAGUCCAAGUGCUCCUUCAAUCCUCCCAAGCUGCAGUCUUACCCACAAACUUAAGAGAUGCCGAGCGUCCACACACUGGUUGUAUUCCUAUGUGGCAGACCUCUGAGCAAGCUCCCAGAAAAUGGAGGCUUGUAGGUGUGCGUUCUGCCAACAAAGCGAGCAAUCUUUAAAAAUGCAGGCUUUCAAUUAUGAUUAAAAGGCCAGGUAGUCUCCAAGCCAGAAGAGAAUAAUCUCUCUGUCUCUGUGAAGUCCCUUCCUUUCCAGCGGCUGUACCGGCGGUUGCAGCCAAGCCAGAAUGAAAGAUGCUUUGCAUGACUUUCAGUGUUUACUCUCACAGGAAGCACAGUAUCCUGUCUGGCUGUUGGUAUGCUCACCACCUGAUUCCAGCACACUCCAAACAGCAGUCUUUUUACACAAGUGGAAUGUGCUGCAGCUUAAAUGCCGGGAAAAAAAAUAAGCAAGAAGGGCUGCUCUAUUAAUUGGUGGGUCAGCACACUAUUUGCUUAAGUGUUAGCAUUGAAUCAAGCUCUUCCUGUUGCAGCCCAGCAGAGAGGCACGGUGCUGCAUGUCUGUGCCCUUCAAGACUAACAAAAUGAGGACUCAUAGAGACACCACAGACCUCUGAGUCCUCUGUGCUACAGCCUUCAGCCAUUUGUGAGGGUGGCAGGAGCCAGGGCAGGAUUGUUAAAGGAACUUAAGUCUGCCUUACCCUGUAGGGCAACCAAUGGUUAUAGCAUGUGUCCAAAAAUGGUCCCUCCAGUCAACAGUUCUGUGAUUCUAUGGUGUGAUUUCAGCAGUAACACCAAGUGAUUCCACCACCUUUGCGUUUGGUAAUGGUGCAUCUGGAGGUGUGCAACUUCUGAGCCCACCAUUCAGAGCAUGCUGAUAGACUGGAAAACAUUCAAAGAGCCAUGAGAUGACUCAAAAGGUUGCAAAAUAGCUUUCAGGCAGAAGUAAUCAAGACUGCAACUUACUCUUCCCGUUAGAGUGUUCUUAUAUUCUGUUGAAGCAGAAAUACUGGGAAUAAAACUGAUCUUAGGAUUUUCAUUCUGGCAGAUGAGAGAUAUGAAUGAGAUCUGGUGGCUGUGGCCUGAUGUGAAAAUUUCUAACAACUGGAGCAAUGUAUUAAGGUAAUCAGCUCCUCACUACUGACUACCUCUGAAACAAGACUGGACUCCUUUCUCAAACACAUAUUCAGUUCAAACUACAUUGAUCUGGAAUUGAUUUUUAUUACUAGAGUCUGUGUUAUAUGGAGGAGUAGAAGUGAUGACAUAUUAGAUUCUCUCCUUAGGUUUCUAGAAAACGAGGAAUCUCCCUAGAAACUUGGGAAACCUCUGAUUCCCCUUUAUACAAAUAUUUAUUGACUUUAAGACACAUUUUGCCAGCUGUGCCCAACUGAUGUGAAACUUGCAGCUCCACUACAAGUUGUGUCUCCCAAGAAGGUGGCUCAUUGCUGAAGCUUUGCAGUUUUUUUCCUAUCUAACUCAACCUGCAUUUUUGGAAUUGAACAAACUUAUUUAGGGAAAGUUCACGGGUAACACUUGAUGUGUAAUUUCAUACAACAGCUCGCUGUAAACCCUCUGCUUGUGUUGAUUCAGUAACCAAGGAACCCCCAAGAUACGUUUCUUAAAAACCAAUUAAAAACCCCCUCCAAACAGCCCAGAAAUGAAUAAUCUCAGGUUGCACACAAAACCAACCUGGCCUUUUAUCUUCCUAAUAAGCAUAGCAAUAUAAACACAACUAUAGGCAUUGUUUUCUAAUUAGGAGAAUGUACCAUGGGAUGUUUACAGACCCCUAUGGAAAUGCGUGGACAUUUGGUUGCUUAGCAAAUGACAGAACCUGAAAGCCGUCUCAGCUAAGGCAUUUACUAUUAGUCUGGCAGGAGUGGAAAUAAAAACUCCUAGAAGCGAACAUAAGGAACAGUGACCCAAGAAAGGCCAAGGCAGUGCUAAGGAAAGGCAGAGGUAUGCCUUACCAACAAUUUUUAUUUGAAUAUUAGCUUACCACAACUUUGCGUUUGUGAACCGCUGAAUUCAGACUGCUGUUGAGAAGGACUUGGAGGCACCCACACAUUGAAGCUGCUGCGUGGCCUCGUCUGCCAGGGCCACGUUCUCCAUGUUUGAUACUUGGCAGACAAUGGGAGCUUCAAUCCUUCAGGGCUGGAUAUAGCUGAGCAGACACUGUUUAUAAGAGAACAGAGUGAAAAAAAAUCAGUGAGAGACUCAUUUGCCAUGUGGAGGUGAGACCAAAGAGGUAUGCAUGUGGCAUGGCACCUACAGAAUGCGUUUCCUGAUGGCUGGGUGGCAGAAGGCUUUGGCCAGCUGGAUUUAUAGGUCUGCAUCAUUUGUGACUGUGGCCUCAGACUCUGAAAGGAGAACCUCCUGGGGUCUCUGAGAUGCAGCUGUGUAUGAGAACCAGUUCAUACUAAUCCCUCAACCCCGUCUUUGCUGCGAGCCAUGGAAAGCAAGUUCCUGUGCUGCUGGCUUUUGUGUUUUAAUAAACAAAGGAAUCUAAAUGGCCAAUUUAAUGCUUACUGCCAUUGUGGUUAGCUCCAAACUACACUCUACGUAGUCCUGUUUUGUAAGUGUCACAAGGAAACUGUUCCCUUUUGGUACACAGCAGUUCUGCUUCCUCAUUUUCUCACCUUCCUUGGUUUUAUCCUCUUGGAAAUUGGCAAUAGCAAAGUCUGGUGCAAAGAAAUAACGUGUUAUCUUUUGGGUGAAGUAGUCAAAUAGAUGUGAGAAAACAUAUUGUGCACUUGCUUGUGAAAAGAACUUUCCUACAGCAUCAUCUCCCACUGUAGUACUGGUUACCACAGAACAAACCUUUUCUAUCCCAAAUACAACAAAGAGACACAUCAUACAAAACUACCUUCAGACUAUGUUGUCUUCACACAACAUUUCUUUACCUUGGAAAAGCAGGAGGGAACCUGCCUGCACAGUAAGUAAAUCAGAUAGCAAUACUGCAUGCAUUUACUGCUUUACUCUUUGCCCCCUCCUCACUCCCACAGCUCAAAGGCUUCACCUCCUAGUGCCUGAGUUUGAAAGGGUGAAGUUGCUGGGAUUUAAAGGUUGCUCUGAUUAACAGCAGCUAUCAGUGCCGUUACGUGAAUUAAGUUACAUAAAUUCUAGAUAUAACUUGAGAAGAAUUUAUUUUUAAUUUGAAACUCUGAAUUUUGUGUCAGAAAAAAAAAAAAAAAAGCAUGUUCAGGUUGCUUUUGAUGCUGAGGUGGUGAGAAGG